rnacentral:lncRNA from 1 species
UUAAAUAGGAUUCUAAACUUGACCUUAAUUGCAUGCUCUAUACCUAUAUUACACUUGUACUGCUUUCUUAUGGUGUUAUAUGCAGCUUUACUUGAUUCCUUUCCUUAGUUUGCCACUGCUUAAUUGAGUAUGAUUCCUUAAUUAAAGGAAGUCUGUAUACUAAAGUGAUUCUAAUUAAAGUUUAUUUCAAUAAUUACUGUUGAACUAUUAUUUUUACCUUAUUUUUCUGCCUGCUUUCAAACAAUAUAAACUCUACUCGUUCAUCAGCAUAAGAUACGAA